GCGCCCUUAGCUCAGUUGGUAGAGCAGCUGACUCUUAAUCAGCGGGUCGGAGGUUCGAAUCCUCCAGGGCGCA
rnacentral:tRNA from 1 species